GGCCUAAUACAUGCAAGUCGAACGGUUGUCAGCAAUGACAAUAGUGGCGCACGGGUGCGUAACGCGUAACCAACCUACCUGAAUCUGGGGGAUGGCCCGCCGAAAGGCGGAUUAAUACCGCAUAAAACUGCAAUUCGGCAUCGGACAACAGUUAAAGAUUUAUUGGAUUCAGAUGGGGUUGCGUGCCAUUAGCUAGUUGGAGAGGUAACGGCUCACCAAGGCGACGAUGGCUAGGGGAGCUGAGAGGCUGGUCCCCCACACGGGCACUGAGAUACGGGCCCGACUCCUACGGGAGGCAGCAGUAGGGAAUAUUGGGCAAUGGUCGAGAGACUGACCCAGCCAUGCCGCGUGCAGGAUGAAGGCUUUCUGAGUCGUAAACUGCUUUUACCAGGGAAGAAAAAAGGGGAUGCGUCCUCUACUGACGGUACCUGGUGAAUAAGCACCGGCUAACUCCGUGCCAGCAGCCGCGGUAAUACGGAGGGUGCAAGCGUUGUCCGGAUUUAUUGGGUUUAAAGGGUGCGUAGGCGGCUGAUUAAGUCUGGGGUGAAAGCCCGUUGCUCAACAACGGAACUGCCCUGGAAACUGGUUAGCUUGAGUACAGACGAGGGUGGCGGAAUGGAUACUGUAGCGGUGAAAUGCAUAGAUAGUAUCCAGAACCCCGAUUGCGAAGGCAGCUGCCUAGACUGUAACUGACGCUGAG
rnacentral:rRNA from 1 species